CCAAUGGCCGCUCUGACGAGCCUUAAAAUCCAAAUAGCUGUAAAGGACCUUCUUCCUCAAGGGAAGGCUUAUUGACAUCAAGUGGCAGCUGUGGGGCUGGAACAACUAACAAAGGCUCCAGGGCUCUCCAAAGGCUUUUUUGACAAAACUGUCACAGGAUACUUUUUUUCACAUGGAGACAGCCAUGACCACUUUUGGUGCAAGGAGCUGAAACAGGAUAGGUUGCACUCAGAGAGAAUGACUGGCCCAAGAUCACCUGGUAAGCUGUACAGCAAGAGUGGGAAUUUGCACUUGGAGCUCCUCAAUCUCUGUACAAUCUAGUCACUAGGCCACACAAAAAGAUCCCACAGUACAUCAAAAACAAAAGUCAAAUAUUCCAGCAAGAAUGCCCUGAUGCACAGAUCUACCUACAUGUGAAAAAUAAAACUGCAUCAUGGUGCCAUCUGUGAGUGGACCUACUGAAACGACUCAAAUGUUUUGCUUUGCUACAUGCUAAUGCCAUCUGUUGGGAAAAAGAUGGAACUAACAAACAGCUCAACAUCUUGAUUGGCUGGAACCUUCUGAUUCAACAGUUUAAUUGGAUGGAAUUUUCUACAAAACUUUCAUGUAUUCUUCAAAGUCACACUAGGUAUCUAUCAGUGAGCACUGCAGCUUCAAAAAUAGUAAGCUUAGACUCCGAUUACGACAAACAGUGCAUUCUACAAUAAUAUACACUUUCUGAGCAGUAACUUCUAUUAAACUCAAGAAGACUUUCUUAAAAAUAAAUAUGCAAACACUCAUGCUACAGCUGU